UCGAACGGACAAUUAUUUAUAGCUUUUGGCUAUAGGCAAUUGUUAGUGGCAGACGGGUGAGUAAUGCGUAGGAAUCUACCUAGUAGUACGGAAUAGCCAUUAGAAAUGAUGGGUAAUACUGUAUAAUCCCCGCGGGGGAAAGAUUUAUCGCUAUUAGAUGAGCCUACGUUAGAUUAGCUAGUUGGUAAGGUAAUGGCUUACCAAGGCUAUGAUCUAUAGCUGGUCUGAGAGGACGAUCAGCCACACUGGAACUGAGAUACGGUCCAGACUCCUACGGGAGGCAGCAGUGGGGAAUAUUGGACAAUGGGCGAAAGCCUGAUCCAGCUAUGCCGCGUGAGUGAAGAAGGCCUUCGGGUUGUAAAACUCUUUCAAUAGGGAAGAUAAUGACGGUACCUAUAGAAGAAGUCCCGGCAAACUCUGUGCCAGCAGCCGCGGUAAUACGGAGGGGGCAAGCGUUGUUCGGAAUUAUUGGGCGUAAAGGGCACGUAGGUGGACUAGUAAGUUAAAAGUGAAAUACCAAAGCUUAACUUUGGAGCGGCUUUUAAUACUGCUAGACUAGAGG
rnacentral:rRNA from 1 species